GGAACUUGCACUAGCAUGGGGUUGCUGGUUCUGGAAAAACGGAACGGGGUGUGAUUCCCCGACGGUCCCGCCACUGUAAUCGAUGAUGAAAACAGAGUUUACCAUUGUCCCAAGGAUGAGAAGGUCUGCUAGUAAGAAGAAUCGUAAGUCAGGAGACGUUUCCAGAUUGAAAUUCUUCG
rnacentral:ncRNA from 2 species